AGUUGCUGUUUGGGGUAGGAGAAGAAUGGACUAUAGGCCUGGCUGCCCAGAAGAUCAGCAGGACUACAGAUAGCUAAGUCUGCUGACAGGGACCGGGGGAAUGAGAAGCUCCUGGUUGGCUGCUAGGGACUGAGUAAGGACUGAGCCUGGGGAGGGCUACAGAAAGAUAGUGUCUCCAGGGAGGAAGUUCUGGGGAUAUGGCCCCAUACCAGGGCUGGACUACUUAAAGACUAAAGCCCAAGGAGGGCUGGAGAGAGACAAGCCCUGUAGACCGUGUACCCCAGAAGGGGUUUGUGCUGGCUAAUGUGUAAACAGUGUGACUUGGCUGGAGGGCGAGUCACUGAAAACCUGCCUAAGAACCACUGAAAGGGGUCUCCAGACCCAAAGAAUGCAAACAUGCCCAAUCAGAAGGGGGCACUUGUGAGAGGAGCCUGAUAUAAUUUGCAGAUUUAUGGCCUGAUUCCAGGAGAUGCCGAGUACCCACAACUUCCACUGAGGUAACUCAGGUUGGGACCUUGAAGACAUUUACUGGACUCAGGAACUCGAGAUGGAACAGAGGGUCUCAUUUGAUGAUGGUAACCAGACCCAAGACAACUUAAUCCUUCUGUCUCCUUAAAGACAAGAUUCUUGAUGCAUCACUCCUUCGUUGAAAGCAGCUGUGCCAUCUUUUGUGUGUGCUAGUCUGUGGCUUGGCCAUCUGCAUUGCAGGAAGCACACAAGUCACCCACCAACCUCCUUUUCCAUGGAAGCUACUGCUUAAACUGGGAACACCUCAUUGCUUGUCGUCUUUGUCGUUUCCAGUCCGCUUGAGCCCCUGAACUGACUCAUGCGCCUUUGUUUUCAAAGCAUUGUGUGUGGGGUUUUAACCACUCAGCUCCCAUUAAGACUAACUAGAUAUCAAGUGGAUGGUGUCCCUCCAAUACACAAUGCUAUAACAUUUAAAAUGUGUCUUUUCUCUUUCUAUGAACAUUAAAAACUGGGAGACAAGAGACUCAAACAAAAGGGAAUGGCAUUUGGAUGAAGCAUUUGGGGACAAAAAUCUCAGCUGGAUAUAGCUCCAUUGACAUCAGUAGAGCUACAUGUACUUACACCCACUGAGGAUCUGUUCCUUGGUCUUUAAAUUGGUGUCUUUUAAAAAGCAUAAAGAAAUUGGGUUCUCAACUCCUCUUUGAAAUUCAAUGAGAAAUUGGUGCCUCACUUUCUUAGGCUUUUUUUUCUAAAGCACCUUAACCAUAACCAAAUAAAAUUCUUAUUUUAAAGAAAAGCCAAAAAAUUCCACAGCUGCUGCACAAAAUACAGAUCAGUGAUAUCUCUCUAUAUCUCAGCAAUGUAUCUUUUCUCCUGAUUUAGUCCAACAGUUUUAACUGUGCAUGAGAAGUCUUUCAACACUUUGUGCAAAUCCAUAAAAUUACAACAUUGGUGAGAAACAAACGAAAAUAAGAAGCUGUGCAAUUUAAAACAAAUGAGGAAAAAUAUAAAUCUCACAUCAGUGUACAAAUUCCAAAACUGUAUUAGAACUCCAAAGAGAACACAAGGAGAUCAGUUUCCUUCAUAGCCUGUAUUCACUGUUUCCAUUUCUCUCUUCAUGCAUUACUUGACUUCUCACUGCCAAGCCAGAGAACGGCUGAUGAGAGACAGAAGACUAAGCAAAUUAAAACAGACCAUUCCUAAGGCAACUGGCUGGAGAGUAUUUUUCAACCAUGCUAAUGAAAUCCACAACAAUUGCAAAUGGGGAUCUAUGUUUAUAUCUUAAUUUAUGUUUCCAAUAAUGCCACUUAUAUGAAUAACAUGUUUCUUAUAAACUGGAUAAUAAACUAUAGUCUGAGACCACAGUAAACCAGCAGAAUGUUUUUUGUUGCAUUUUUAAUCAAAUGUGGCUCUAGGGGCUAGGUACCAGAAUGCCGUUUUUACAUCACCUUCUUCACUGAAAAUGAGCUUUCUCAAAUCUUAAAAGUGUGAACCAUAUAACUUAUCCUGAAAUUGUAUUGAAUCUUUCAUUUCUAUGUGUAUGCAUCAAAGGAAGGAGAAUAUAAAGAAACUGCCAUUUGGAAAUAAAUAACCUUUGAAUUGAAGUAAUCCCUUUGGAAUCCUUUUAGCUGCAAUAUGCCAUAUAAAGGUAUGAUUAUAAUUAUUAUUUUUCAGUUGCCCCAACACUGCUUAGCUUGGAGUUGUAGGAAAACUGAAUUUAGUAAUACAAAAUAUUUGUGAACUUGGUUUGCAGCACAUAGUAAGAAAAUUCAGCUUUACGAAUAUUAUUGGAGCUGCUUGAAACAUUUUUGGACAUUAUAUUUUCCUCUAAUUACUGAAGCAUUUUUGUUUAGUUAGAGAGAGAGAGAGAGAGAGAGAGAGAGAGAGAGAGAAAUUAACCGAGAGAGAGAGAGAGAGAGAGAAAUUAACCAGUGAGGAGUUUAAUACUUCUUAAUGAGAAAGCUUGAGCCAAACAAGAGUUGCACAACCUUCCCUACACAGAGCUAUCAAUUCACCUCAGUACUGACCUGCAGCACCCUUAUUAGUCUAGUCCUGAAUCUCUUGUGAGCAAAUAAUUUGUCUGAGGAAUUUAGCCUCUCUUUCUGUUUGCAGAUAAGCAAAUUCUGUUGAUCAUAAUUAUUCACUGAACAAUUCUUGAUCUUUAGAUGUUUGUGACUAUUUGAAACCUGAAAUAUUUUAAUUUUAACUGUGCUGCUUAGUAUUGAUUGGAGACACGGGUCACAAGUUAUUUCUUUGUUUCCUGACCAGAUGGUGUAACUCUUUUAAAGUCAGAUUGCCUGUGCAUCUCUAAGUGCAAAAUGAAUGCGCUCUCUCUGUACAUCUUACUAUCUGUUACAAUAUUAACGGAAAGUGAGCACAAAAGGACUCUAAUAAAAACUAAGUGAAGACCAUA